AACUUUUAUUUGCUAAACAAAACAUUACUUCUUCUAAUAUUUUUCGAUUGUCUCAAGUUUAUAUAUUUAGAUAAAGAGUAACUUUACAAAACACUGUCUAAAAUUUCAGGAAGAAAUCAGAAAAUUAUAAAAAAUUUUGUCAUUCUUGGAACUUGGAAUAUUUUCAUCCGAAUAAUUUCACCAAUAAAUUAUCAGAAUUUCCCACUUUUGUUUUCAUCGCCCCAAAUAUUAAUCACAAGAACUCUUCAAAAUUAUAAGAACUCUAUAUAAAUUUUUUAAAAGAAACCUAAAUCUAUCAACUGUAUUAGACUUCUAAUAACAGAGUGUUUACAGAGGUGCUAAAUAUGGCGCUAGUAUUGUAUAUUAAAUUUUAGCUGUAAUAAGCUUUCAGUGUAUGACAUAUUAUUUUUUUUCUUAAAUAAAUCACAUACACACACAAUCUAACAUGAUCGGAUCGACAACCAUCCAGUCGCAGGAUAUGAUAUAUCUGGUGGUUGCGAAAUUGCAAAUCGACACCGCCGUGUCGUUUCAGCUCGUCUCAGCUUACGUAAUUCUCGAGAGACCGCGUAAAAGCGGGGGUGCGGUAGCGAGCCAUGGGUUCGACACACCCCCUUCGCAGCCGAUCGAUCGCAAAAUGUCUCAGAAUUUCAUCAGGCUUUGGAUUCGCGGUGAUUUGUACUUUUCUUUAGCUCUCUAAUUGGAAUCUCAUCUAGAAAACAUGAUUUUUAAACUUGUUCUCGUCGACAUCAGCAAAAAUAGAAUUCUGAGAAGAAAAGUUCUCAUCAAAAUUUUCAGAGUUAUGUUAUACGUAAACAAGACUCAGUGUAAUAACAACGAUAUUUUUAACGACUUGCUGUAACUUUUGAAUAUUUCAUAAAAAUCCAUAUUAAAACAAAAUAAAAAGCAUUUAUUAUGUCUUCUCAUUUUUCGAAUAAGGAUGUAAUUUUUGUGUAAACUACAGGGGCAAGCAAAAUUAUAAAGUGACGUUCAGAACCGGAAUCCACUGAUUCAGGACAUCGGAAGGCGGUAAAUCCGUCAGCGCUUUACAUAUGCAAAGCAUAUGCAGACGGUUUCAAAUUCGCAUUCGAAACCUGGCAUAAUCUCUUAAUUUUUCUCAAGGCGGUCGCGUUAUCGCAGGUCUUGCGAACAAUGUCGUGAUCUUACGCAACGAGAGGCAAAAAAAGGGAGAAAUUCUCCUAGAAUGGAAUUUAAAAAAUUCACACGGACGCGUGAAAAGUGAAACGCCGAAAGUCCGAGCGCAGAAAUUCAAUAUCGCCGAAGGUCAUUCUGCGGAGUCGUGUCCGUUUUCGAUGCCGAUGUAAGAAGCCUUAGAACACACCGGAGUGCUCUAUCGGCACGUUUUAAUCAGCGACUCGUUGCCAUGAGAAUCAUGAAGCGGUGAAGAAUAGGAAGGAGUGAAGCCGAGGUUCAGCUCGCGAUAAAAUCUUGAAACAAAGUUGGGACAAGUUUUCCUUACAGAAUAUUGAAGUAAAAUGUCCUUUCUUUGUAACUCUGUAUUAAUCCGCGAAUAUAUUUUAAAGGAUCAUUUUCCAUUAGGCAAAAAGAUCAUUUUGUCAUUACAAAAUAUAUUAUUACCAAACUAUACAUAUAAUUAUUCAAAGUAAAGUUUGCAUGUAAGAUUGAUUAGCAUAACAUAUAAAUAUUGCCAUUAAAAUAACAAUUUUAUAAUUUAUAUUGCAUAAUGUAAUGAUAUACAUUAAUCUUAAGUAAGUAAAUUAUAUUUACAGAGAUUAUCUGUAAUGCACGUAUAGCAAAGGAGAAAUAUAAUCUAAAAAACUAAUUUUAUUGAUUAAAAUUAGUUAAACAAACAGAGAAUACGAGUGAACUUUACGUCGGCUAAUCGAAAUUAUAACUCCAACAUUUCUUCUGCUAAAUACGAAUAAAGAAUGUUGUUUAGCACAUAAUUAUUGCUGAUGUCUGUCAGAAAGUAAAUCGCUGUCGUUCGAAUGACGCGGAUAGCACGGUAGUGCAACUGCGAACUGUUCAACGUGUCAUCGUAGAUAACGAAUAACGUAACGAGAAAUGUUAUCGGUCGAAAAAAGUAUAAACUUUUACGACGACAACUUUAACGCGACAUCGACAUCGUACCAUACGUUUGUUCAUUCAUUCACUUGUUCAAUAAAGCGAUCUAAUAUAGUAGUAAACUCUCGUACACGUGGAUGGUCCUCGUAGAUUGUCAGAGUAACUAUUAUUGCGAGCGAUGAUCAAUAUAAUGAACAACAAAAGAUAAGGUAUUAAGUAGCAAAAUCUUAUUAUUUAUUUAAGUGUGACCAGAUCUUGUUUCUUCAUCAUUUUAAAUAAGGAAUGCAAAGCUGCUUAAAGUCGUUAAAGCUAUUAAAAAGCAGUUACGAAUAGAACAAUAAACUUGUUUAAAGGUAUUACUAUCUUUUGGAAAAUCUUUUGUUGAAGUAAAGUUUUCAAAAUUUUGAAAAAAAUUCAUGUAAAAGUGUCUUGUUUAAUAUUUAAAAUCGAAACUUAUUAAUAACAAAGAUGUUUAAAAACAAGAAAUUAAUGUAGUACAUGCAUAUAAUUUGUGUAUAAUUCCUAUGAAUAAUUCAGUCAUCUUUCUUAUUUAGAAUAAUAUAACUCCUACAAAAUUCGCUUCUCGAGAACCAUUGAAUUAUCCGUAUUGGAGUAGAGGAAAUGGUGAAACGCACGAGUAUAUAACACGCGAGGAUCGUGCUCCCGUCACAAACACAUAAUUCAUGUUUUUUCGAUCGCAAAUCAUCGACGAUCUUCAAGAGAGACAGCGGCACGGUCGAUGAUUAAGCUCCGAGAAUUAUUUUUAGGAAUUGCGUCAGUGAGCAGAGCGAAGAUGCACACGGACGUCAGCGGUGAACCAGAAAUCGCGAGUUCCGAUCGCGGUAGAAUCGCGACAAUCAAGGCUACGUUUCGAUUGUUGCGAAAUACCUAAUACUCGUCGGGGAACAAAGCACCUACUCGAAGGAACGAGUGCACCGGAUAUAGAUGUCCUUUUCUUUAUCUCACUCUCCGACUCUGUAACGAUUCGAUUCCGCCACGCCUACGUCGACGACGUUGUCGCCCGAAAAUUGGCGUCUCAUCGACGGACGGUAGAACGAGAUAUCGCAAAAGCAACGAAGAAAAGUUCGUCGAUGGGAGCGCGACACGUUUGGUCAAAUAUCGACGUAAGUCGACUUAUUAGGGAGUAACUGCAAUCGUAGCGUCCAAAAAUGACUGAACUGUUAUCUUCUACCGUAUCGAUUUUCGAGUUUAAUCCGAUAUAAUUAUAAUCUGAACACUUUGUACACACGAUUCGGCAAACUCUUGUCCUGCAAAUUUCUUUUCUUUUAAAAACCACGAACACUGUAAUUCGUUACGUAACUCUGAAGCAAUCUACACAAAUACUUUCUAGAGAAGUUAAAGUACAUGUAAGAGUUAUCGAAGAACUCUUUUAUAUUUGUAAAGUAAUAAAAAUUAACAAGCGUCAUGACCCAACAUGUGUACCGAGUGUUAAAUAAAACAAGUAAUUGGACAAAUGCUGUAUAUGGUGUUUUACAUCGGACAUUAUGCUAAAAAAUUAUCGCGUUUCAAAGUGUACCAUAAAAGUAACAUACUACGUGGAAUACACUUAAUGUUUUUCAUAUUUAUAAUAAAAUGUCUCGUAUUUCCGUGUUAUCCCAAAGGAAUUAUUAAAAUUUUUAUAUCAUCGUGUACCAUUUGGUUGUCGCCCGGCAGACUUAUCGACACCUCGUUAACGUCCGCAAUGAGAAAGACAGGCUGUCUGCGCCGAAAAGGGUACUCGAUAUCCGCGGUGCGAAGUAUCUACGUCACGAGAGAACGAUAUCGAGGUACAAGCGUCUUCGUUCUCGCAGCUAGCUAUCGGAUCGCGCGAUUAUCGAUUUUGCAAUGUUGUGCAGUCGAAGGUAGGCAGGCUGCAGCCGCAGCAGCAGCAGCAGCACGGGAAAAGCGACGACGAAAGAGACGAGGAGAGGGGUGAGGGAGCGGCGGCGCGGACGAGGGUCCUUUUAUAGUGCGUAAGGGGCGAUACUUCUUUUUCCUCUCUUUCUCUCUCCCCCUCCCUCACAUCUCCCUCUCGUGUUCUCAGCCGGCGCGGAAAACACGCGGCGACCACCAUCGCGCGGCGCGAUUCCACAUCAGAGGCAUUUAAAUCGAUCCACCGCCGGAUACGUCGCGAUUCGCCGAGCGUGAACCGCUCUCUCGCCCGGUUUCUCGUGACGCUAAUCGCGACGCCACGUCCACGCGAGUAGAGAGAUAAUGCAGAGACAUAGGAGAAGUUUCUGAGAACGAGUUUUUAAGUAACCCCUUGUAAAGUAUUUGUUUGCGUAAUGUCAAUGCUACCGUUGGACACUACCGAAAAAAACUGGCGAUGACCGCGUGACGGAGUAGCCGUGGAAUUCGACUGGGAGAGCAAAGUUGGAAAUUGGAAGCAAUAAUUAAUGCUAACGGCCGAAAUGUCAGUACUCUUUAAUAUCUGCGUGUCGACAGCCAUCCUUGACAGACGGCCGUGACGAUAGAGCACCGAAAGUACCACGAAUCCGGUGGCUAUCGCCGAUAGCACCAUGUUGAGUAAUCAAACAUCGCAAGGAGGAAAGUGUGAGUGCGUUCGCUCGUCCGUCGGGAUACUGACUCAUCGCCAGUGACGUAUCUAUUAUCUUCUACGCGCUGUAUUGUUCACGUACGUGUUGUUCUUUGUAUGCCCGUUAUAAAGCUAUCAUGUGUGCGUUUCUAUUUUGCACCUAUUUUGCCAUAGCUACGAUCAUUAAAUUAUCCUUCGGUUACUUUCCGCGUGAAUUCGUCUUCAGACUUAUGGCUUCGGUAGACCAGCGCGAUUUCUGUCGCGCGCGACGCGCGAUAUCCAAUGAGCGUACAGAGAUGAGCGGAAAGACGGUCACUUAUUGGACAUCGUGCUAGUGUGCAGCCAGUCUUACGCUGAAAUUCACCAGCGACAAACAGUUAUUCUUUAUUCAUCCGAUAAACGUAAUGCAAAGAGGGUAUCUUAAUUCGUUCAGUAAAUGAAGAAAAAAAAUUGCAUCAACGUGAAUAAUAGAAUGCCCAGGUUAAACUUGACGCAAUUGAAUAUUUGGGUCUCGACAUUUCUCGCAUUUCUCUUAUAAUUCUUCUAUUAAUUGAUAGAUAACGGUAUUCUCGUUUAAGUAAGAUAAUACUCGAUUCGUACUUGCGAGUAUUUCACCGAUUUAUAGUUGGAUGAUUCGACCUGUGCUCUUUUCACGUUUAUCUCGAAUAAUAAUAGCAACUCCUCUCUUUCCCUCCCUUUAAUUUGCUCCUAUCUUAAUAUUACAUAUAUUUCUCCUACUCUCUAAUCCAGUUUCUUCUAAUCGUCUACUUUUUCGUUACUUCUAAAGCAAUUAUAGUCCGCGAAAGAUAUAGAUAAGCGCAGAAAAAACAUUGCAACUCGCAGAUAGACAGCGCGCACUUCUGCGAACACGGAUAAAACGGAGAAUAUUAUGUUUUAUUGCGCGUUUGUUGUAAACUCGAAGAGCUCAGGUCAGCGCGAAUAUCAGAAACUCCACAUAGUGAUCGUAUUCACACUGUUGUAGAACUGUAUCAUCGCUAUUGUUCUGUGUAUAUUUUAUGUAAUUUAAUAUUAAAAAUGUCCCACACAGACCUGAUUAC
rnacentral:lncRNA from 1 species